rnacentral:ncRNA from 1 species
UGACCUCAGAUCAGGCAAGGCUACCCGCUGAAUUUAAGCAUAUUAAUAAGCGGAGGAAAAGAAACUAACAAGGAUUCCCCUAGUAAUGGCGAAUGAAGCGGGAACAGCUCAAAUUUAAAAUCUCCGUUGCUUGCAACGGCGAAUUGUAGUUUCGAGAAGCACUUUCUCGGCGGAUCCGAGGUCGUCCAAGUUGCUUGGAACAGCACGUCGUAGAGGGUGAAAACCCCGUCUGCGGCGACCUCGGUCGUUCACGAUGUGCUUUCGACGAGUCGGGUUGUUUGGGAAUGCAGCCCAAAAUGGGUGGUAAACUCCAUCUAAAGCUAAAUAUUGGCACGAGACCGAUAGCGAACAAGUACCGUGAGGGAAAGAUGAAAAGCACUUGAAAAGA